CCUACGGUGGGCAGCAGUGAGGAAUAUUGGUCAAUGGCCGGAAGGCUGAACCAGCCAUGCCGCGUGAAGGUCAGUGCCCUAUGGGCGUUAAACUUCUUUUGUGCGGGAGCAAUAAUGGUCACGUGUGGCCAGACGAGAGUACCGUACGAAUAAGCAUCGGCUAACUCCGUGCCAGCAGCCGCGGUAAUACGGGGGAUGCAAGCGUUAUCCGGAUUUAUUGGGUUUAAAGGGUGCGUAGGCUGUGAGGUAAGUCAGCUGUGAAAUGCCCCCGCGCAACGGGGUGAAGUGCCAUUGAUACUGCCUGGGUUGAAUGCGGAAGCCGUGGGAGGAAUGUGUGGUGUAGCGGUGAAAUGCAGAGAUAUCACACAGAACACCGAUUGCGAAGGCAUCUCACGAAUCCGCGAUUGACGCUGAUGCACGAAAGCGUGGGUAUCAAACAGGAUUAGAUACCCGAGUAGUC
rnacentral:rRNA from 1 species